rnacentral:rRNA from 1 species
UACGUAGGGUGCGAGCGUUGUCCGGAAUUAUUGGGCGUAAAGAGCUCGUAGGCGGUGUGUCACGUCGGCCGUGAAAACCUGCAGCUUAACUGUGGGCGUGCGGUCGAUACGGGCAUCACUGGAGUUCGGCAGGGGAGACUGGAAUUCCUGGUGUAGCGGUGAAAUGCGCAGAUAUCAGGAGGAACACCGGGUGGCGAAGGCGG